rnacentral:SRP_RNA from 1 species
GCCGGGCGGGGUGGCUCACGCCUGUAAUCCUAGCACUUUGGGAGGCCGAGGCAGGUGGAUCACCUGAGGUCAGGAGUUCAAGACCAGCCUGGCCAACAUGGUGAAACCCUGUCUUUA